CCUGUUAUAUGGCUAACAGUAGUCUAGGGAUAGUGCGAGACUGGCAACGGUCUGGUGCGGAGCUUCCUGACAAUGUACCCCCUUGAGGAAUAUGUAGUAGCUCAAACUUAAUCUGACA
rnacentral:ncRNA from 1 species